rnacentral:rRNA from 1 species
UGCCAGCCGCGCGGUAAUACGGAGGGUGCAAGCGUUAAUCGGAAUUACUGGGCGUAAAGGGUACGUAGGCGGUUUGAUAAGUUGGAUGUGAAAGCCCCGGGCUCAACCUGGGAACUGCAUUCAAAACUGUCAGACUAGAGUGUAUAAGAGGUUAGCGGAAUUCCAGGUGUAGCAGUGAAAUGCGUAGAUAUCUGGAGGAACAUCAGUGGCGAAGGCGGCUGACUGGUAUAACACCGACGCUGAGGUACGAAAGCGUGGGUAGCGAACGGGAUUAGAUA